CCUUCGGGGUGAUUUGUUGGACCCUAGCGGCGGAUGGGUGAGUAACACCUGGGCAAUCCGCCCUAAAGACUGGGAGACCACUUGGAAACAGGUGCUAAUACCGGAUAACAACAUGAAUCGCAUGAUUCAAGUUUGAAAGGCGGCGUAAGCUGUCACUUUAGGAUGAGCCCACGGCGCAUUAACUAGUUGGUGGGGUAAAGGCCUACCAAGGCAAUGAUGCGUACCCGAGUUGAGAGACUGAUCGGCCACAUUGGGACUGAGACACGGCCCAAACUCCUACGGGAGGCAGCAGUAGGGAAUCUUCCACAAUGGACGCAAGUCUGAUGGAGCAACGCCCCGUGAGUGAAGAAGGUUUUCCGAUCUUAAAGCUCUGUUGUUGGUGAAGAAGGAUAGAGGCAAUAACUGGUCUUUAUUUGACGGUAAUCAACC
rnacentral:rRNA from 1 species